CGAGAUUAAACAGCUAAAUAUAUAAGAAAACAAACUCCCGUAUCACUCCGCGGCAAGUUAUCAAUUAUCAUUCUCUUUCCGUCACCCUCGUAGCCUCUUAACAUUCUAACAGUAUGUCUUGAGGGACUUCCAUGUAUGAGAGAUUGUUUUGAAUAAUCCCACGACAUCGAUUCAAGUCAGAACUGGAGUCAAAAGGGACAGAUUGAGAAUAAUAUAUAAAGACUAGUGAAGAUCGGCUUGCGUGUCGCGGGGAGCCAUUCAUCAUGACGUCAGCCCAGGGACAUCGGCGGUGACGAGAGGACACACGUGGACGCUCUCUCAGUAUUUUUUGCCUUUUGUGUUGUGUUAUGCGCUCGGUAUCACGAUUUUUUGCAUCUUAUCGAUUGCGUGUGACGUUGGGGUAUCCUUAGACUGGCCGUAGAGAGGUGUAGCGCCCUGGAGUGGCUUCGUGCGUCUCCUGGCAGAGUUGUUGAAAAACUGUCGACGCUUCCUCUUCCUUCUCACGUGAGUACAGAAUAUCAUGUUUUUUUUAUCUUCUUUCUCUCUCUCCAUUCGUCCCUCCCACACCUUUUCCUUUCCCUAAGCUUGGCAGAUGUGACUUAUGAGCAGAAUAUCAUGUUUUUUCUCUCUCCAUUCUUCGUCACACGUUUCCUCCACCCUCGCAUCCCCACACCUUUUUCCCUCUCCUAAGCUUGGCCGACGUGACUUAAGAGUGAGUCCGCAACUUCAUCAGAGGCCAAAAGUGAUAUCUUCUUCCUGUGAUAAUUGUCAAUGUGCCUUC